rnacentral:rRNA from 1 species
UACGGAGGGUGCGAGCGUUGUCCGGAAUCACUGGGCGUAAAGGGCGCGUAGGCGGCCUGAUAAGUAGGGGGUGAAAUCCUGCGGCUUAACCGCAGGGCUGCCUUCUAAACUGUCAGGCUCGAGCACAGUAGAGGCAGGUGGAAUUCCCGGUGUAGCGGUGGAAUGCGUAGAGAUCGGGAAGAACAUCAGUGGCGAAGGCGGCUCACUGGACCGGAACUGACGCUGAGGCGCGAAAGCGUGGGGAGCAAACAGG